GUGUCAUUGAAAGACAGCUUGGGUUUGUUGAUGUUAGUUGUGAUAGGACUGACACUGCUAUAUCAUCAGUGGUUAAGGGUAAGUUAAGUCAAUAUAAUAAUGUGAAAAAGAAAUUUAUUGGACAGACUUAUGAUGGUGCAUCUGUUAUGUCUGGUCAUCUCAAUGGUGUUCAAGCUCAAGUUCAGCAGGAUUAUCCUUAUGCUCAACUUGUUCACUGUGUUGCCCAUAGACUAAAUCUAGUAUUAUGUCAAGCUGCAUCCUCCAUCUCACCUGUUAAGAUUUUCUUUGUUAAUAUUAGCACCUUUACUGGCAAUUCCCCCUAAAAGAAAAGCUUUACAAUCAUCCCAUAGGCUUGAGUUUCCUAGUUCUGGUGACACAAGAUGGUAUUAUAGGGCUCAUGUCAUCAAUGUCUUGCAUUCUAACUAUGAGAAACUGAUAGACAUAUUUGAAAAUCUUACUGAUAAUCCAAUAGGUUGGGAUGAUGAAACGUUAAGUAAGGUUACUGGUUUACUUGGCUACCUUAAUGGCUUCUUGUUUUGUUUGUUGGUACAUGUUUGUCAGAGAAUUCUUGAGCAGUCAUCCGUACUUUAUUCUAUCUUGCAAGAAAAGGACACUGACUUUCAUUAUGGAAUGAGUAGGUUUGAGAGAUUCAAGGCCUUUGUUGCUUCUCUGAGAAAUGAUACAGAAUAUUGUCAGGUGUGCAACCUGGCUGUUGAGAAAGUGGGACCACCAGUAACCAGUUCCAUUAUCAAUCUAGUAUUCCAGAAGUUAAAGAUAAAUGGGGUUUUGUCAAUUACAAGUGCUUCAGUUCAGAGGAUUUCCAUUCACAAAGACAUACUGUCAGAGA